rnacentral:rRNA from 1 species
UGGGAAACAGGUUAAUAUUCCUGUACUUGGUGUUACUGCGAAUGGGGGACGGAGAAGUCUAUGUUAGCCGGGCGACGGUUGUCCCGGUUUAAGCAUGUAGGCUGGUUAUCCAGGCAAAUCCGGAUAAUCAAGGCUGAGGUGUGAUGACGAGGCACUACGGUGCUGAAGUAACAAAUGCCCUGCUUCCAGGAAAAGCCUCUAAGCAUCAGGUAACAUCAAAUCGUACCCCAAACCG